rnacentral:rRNA from 1 species
GUCCUAGCAGUAAACGGUGCACGUUUGGUGUGGGCGCAUUCGACCGCGUCCGCGCCGGAGCUAACGCGUUAAACGUGCCGCCUGGGAAGUACGGUCGCAAGAUUAAAACUCAAAGAAAUUGACGGGGACCCGCACAAGCGGUGGAGUAUGUGGCUUAAUUCGAUGCAACGCGAAGAACCUUACCUGGUCUUGACAUGCACUGUGUCUCCGGUGAAAGCCGGAUAGUGUAGCAAUACACGCUUUGCACAGGUGCUGCAUGGCUGUCGU